ACUCCUACGGGAGGCAGCAGUCGGGAAUAUUGGUCAAUGGGGGCAACCCUGAACCAGCAACUCCGCGUGAGGGAUGGAGGCCCUCGGGUCGUAAACCUCUGUCAGAAGGGAAGAAAUUACCAAGUCGAAUAGGCUUGGGAGCUGACGGUACCUUCAAAGGAAGCACCGGCUAACUCCGUGCCAGCAGCCGCGGUAAUA
rnacentral:rRNA from 1 species